rnacentral:rRNA from 1 species
AUUUUCUGCCACCGAAUACAUUAGCAUGGGAUAAUGGAAUAGGACCCUGUCCUCCUAUUUUCAGUUGGUUUUGGCAGCGCGAGGACUAGGGUAAUGAUUAAUAGGGAUAGUUGGGGGCAUUAAUAUUUAAUUGUCAGAGGUGAAAUUCUUGGAUUUAUGAAAGAUUAACUUCUGCGAAAGCAUCUGCCAAGGAUGUUUUCAUUAAUCAAGAACGAAAGUUAGGGGAUCGAAGACGAUCAGAUACCGUCGUAGUCUUAACCAUAAACGAUGCCGACCAGCGAUUAGGAGACGUUGAAUACAAAACACCACCAUCGGCGCGGUCGUCCUUGGCGUCGGUCCUUCACGGGGCCGGCGCGAGGGCGGCUUAGCCCGGUGGCACCGGUGAAUGACUCCC